GAUGAACGCUGGCGGCGUGCCUAAUACAUGCAAGUCGAGCGAACAGACGAGGAGCUUGCUCCUCUGACGUUAGCGGCGGACGGGUGAGUAACACGUGGAUAACCUACCUAUAAGACUGGGAUAACUUCGGGAAACCGGAGCUAAUACCGGAUAAUAUAUUGAACCGCAUGGUUCAAUAGUGAAAGACGGUUUUGCUGUCACUUAUAGAUGGAUCCGCGCCGCAUUAGCUAGUUGGUAAGGUAACGGCUUACCAAGGCAACGAUGCGUAGCCGACCUGAGAUGGUGAUCGGCCACACUGGAACUGAGACACGGUCCAGACUCCUACGGGAGGCAGCAGUAGGGAAUCUUCCGCAAUGGGCGAAAGCUUGACGGAGCAACGCCGCGUGAGUGGUGAAGGUCUUCGGAUCGUAAAACUCUGUUAUUAGGGAAGAACAAAUGUGUAAGUAACUAUGCACGUCUUGACGGUACCUAAUCAGAAAGCCACGGCUAACUACGUG
rnacentral:rRNA from 1 species